GUUUAGUAGAGAUUGGGGUUCCAGCAUGUUGGCCAGGCUUGUCUCGAACUCCUGACCUCAAGUGAUCCACCCACCUCGGCCUACCAAAGUGCUGGGAUUACAGGUGUGAGCUACCGCGCCCAGCCCCUCUUAAUUGUUUCUGACUGAAAUCUACGCCGGGUUCAGCUGGCUGUUCUGCUGUCUCCCUUUGGUUCCUCAUGUGGCUGCAAUCAACCUGAGGCCCAACUGGCCUGGAAAUCCACAACACCUUCACUCACAUGCCUGAUAGCUCAGCUGAGAUAAUGGAGCUUCCAGGAGUGGCCCAAGAGUCUUUCCAUGCAGUCCAGGAGGGCAGGUGGAUCUCUUAACUUCAGGUGGUGGCUCAGUGGUUCCAAGAAAGAGAGAUCCAAGGAGACAAGUCCCUGCUUGUAUCAUACUUGUUGACAUGUCAUUGAUCCCAGAUCAGUGUGGGAGGCAUUACACAAGGGUCUCAAUAUUGGGAGACAGAGUUAUCUGGGGACUGGGCGAGGUGCCUCACUCCUGUAAUCCCAGCAAUUUGGGAGGCCAAGGAGGGCGGAUUACUUGAGGUCAGGAGUUGGAGACCAGCCUGGUCAACAUGGUGAAACCCUGUCUCUACUAAAAAUACAAAAAUUAGCUGGGCAUGGUGGCGGGUGCCUGUAGUCCCAGCUACUUUGGAGGCUGAGGCAGGAGGAUCACUUGAGGCCAGGAGUUUGAUGCCGCAGUGAACCAUGAUUGCAGCACUGCACUCCAGCGUGGGAGGCAGCAAGACACUGUCUCUAAAGUCGGUUCCCAUUCCCAGGAGGUCAUCAUAUUGAUGCCAAACUUAGUGUGGACACCCAAGUGGCACAGUGCACUCCAGUCCAGAAGCCCUGGGCUCAAGCAAUCCUCUUGCCUCAGCCUCCCGGGUAGCUGGGACUAGAGCAGCGUGCCACUGUGCCCAGCCACGUGGAAUUUUGAAGCGCACAAUCGGAGCACCAUAUUGGACAACCUUGGAGUAUUAAACAGGACUCUCGAAGAUUGGGGUGGGCGCUGCAUGUGAUUGUGUGUGAGGCUGAACAGAUGGCAGGGGAAACUCGCUGGAGCCCAGCCUCCUUGGGGUCCACACUGGUACCCAACUGACAGUUGGAAGGCGCGGCCAGUUCAGCACCGCGGACAGCUCCAGGACAGGCGCCUAUCCCUGGCCUCUGAGCCCCGCCCCCGGCGCGCCAGCCCUUCCCGCAGGACCCGCCCAGAUUUAAAGCUCCG
rnacentral:lncRNA from 1 species